CAGUUCGUUUUCUCACUCGCCUGCAGCGGACAGACCUGCGCUUGAACGCCGGACCAGCGAGUAAGCGUGACGGUUUUUUCGCCUAUUCCUUUUUUUUUACUCGAAGUUGUUUGUGAGGAGUGUAAACUGGUUUUACUCAUACCGCAGCCGCGAUUUCAGCGGAGGAGAGACAACGGUGGAGCUAAUAUGGUGAGUGCAAUAAUUUACCACGUUUAUUUGAGACAUGGCUAUUGUUUGAAAGAGUACGUUUAAGUUAAUUAACGGUAUAAAUACAAAAACGGAUGAAUAUACUUCUGUUCUAUCUAGGCUGAGAGCCCUCUUAAUGACUGUCUUGUUUUGGAGGGAACAAGAAAUAGAAGAGAUGCUCUGGAAGUAAAAGUUGUCAAUGACAAGCCUGACAUCACCCAGAUGAUAAUUCAAAGGCCAGCUCUUUUUACAGUAAACCAGUCUGUUUCUUUCUCUGUUAGGAUGCAGCUGACAAGACAGACUCCAGUACGAAUCAUCAGCGUUGAUCAAGAAAGUCCACAGCUCAAAACCCAUCUAGAGUGGAAAUUAUCUUGGAAGAAAAUUUUGUAAUGGAUGGACUGACCGAUCUCAGGCCUUCUGUGUCCAUUGUUUUCAGACUGAUUUAUGCCCUGCACCUGGACUAAGUGUAUGAAAAGCACUUUAUAUUUUAUUCAGCAGGUAAUGCUCAACCUCAGAAAAGGUGAGUUAGCACCUAAAAUUCAGUACUGCCAAAAUUGUGAACUGAGAGUGGAAUAAAACCAUAAAAAGUUUG